rnacentral:rRNA from 1 species
GACGAACGCUGGCGGCGUGCUUAACACAUGCAAGUCGAACGGAAAGGCCCUGCUUUUGUGGGGUGCUCGAGUGGCGAACAGGUGAGUAACACGUGAGUAACCUGCCCUUGACUUUGGGAUAACUUCAGGAAACUGGGGCUAAUACCGGAUAGGAGCUCCUGCUGCAUGGUGGGGGUUGGAAAGUUUCGGCGGUUGGGGAUGGACUCGCGGCUUAUCAGCUUGUUGGUGGGGUAGUGGCUUACCAAGGCUUUGACGGGUAGCCGGCCUGAGAGGGCGACCGGCCACAUUGGGACUGAGAUACGGCCCAGACUCCUACGGGAGGCAGCAGUGGGGAAUAUUGCACAAUGGGCGGAAGCCUGAUGCAGCAACGCCGCGUGCGGGAUGACGGCCUUCGGGUUGUAAACCGCUUUCGCCUGUGACGAAGCGUGAGUGACGGUAAUGGGUAAAGAAGCACCGGCUAACUACGUGCCAGCAGCCGCGGUGAUACGUAGGGUGCGAGCGUUGUCCGGAUUUAUUGGGCGUAAAGGGCUCGUAGGUGGUUGAUCGCGUCGGAAGUGUAAUCUUGGGGCUUAACCCUGAGCGUGCUUUCGAUACGGGUUGACUUGAGGAAGGUAGGGGAGAAUGGAAUUCCUGGUGGAGCGGUGGAAUGCGCAGAUAUCAGGAGGAACACCAGUGGCGAAGGCGGUUCUCUGGGCCUUUCCUGACGCUGAGGAGCGAAAGCGUGGGGAGCGAACAGGCUUAGAUACCCUGGUAGUCCACGCUGUAAACGGUGGGUACUAGGUGUGGGGUCCAUUCCACGGGUUCCGUGCCGUAGCUAACGCUUUAAGUACCCCGCCUGGGGAGUACGGCCGCAAGGCUAAAACUCAAAGGAAUUGACGGGGCCCCGCACAAGCGGCGGAGCAUGCGGAUUAGUUCGAUGCAACGCGUAGAACCUUACCUGGGUUUGACGUGGAUCGGGAGUGCUCAGAGAUGGGUGUGCCUCUUUUGGGGUCGGUUCACAGGUGGUGCAUGGCUGUCGUCAGCUCGUGUCGUGAGAUGUUGGGUUAAGUCCCGCAACGAGCGCAACCCUUGUUCACUGUUGCCAGCACGUUAUGGUGGGGACUCAGUGGAGACCGCCGGGGUCAACUCGGAGGAAGGUGGGGAUGACGUCAAGUCAUCAUGCCCCUUAUGUCCAGGGCUUCACGCAUGCUACAAUGGCUGGUACAGAGAGUGGCGAGCCUGUGAGGGUGAGCGAAUCUCGGAAAGCCGGUCUCAGUUCGGAUUGGGGUCUGCAACUCGACCUCAUGAAGUCGGAGUCGCUAGUAAUCGCAGAUCAGCAACGCUGCGGUGAAUACUUUCCCGGG